GUUUAAAAUAGAAACAAGGUUGUUCUUAAUAGAAACACUAUCAAAUAACUUUACUUUUAUCCCUUAGUUACUUUUAUUUGUUCACAUUGUUUUCAAUCUUGCUGUGAAUAUAUAGUGGGUUUGAUUUAAUAAUUUAAAUUGCCAAUUCUAAAUUUAUAUUAACUCUUUUAUGUCACCCUAUUUUUUUUUUAAUUGAAUGGUAACUGAACCUUUUAAAUGAGUAGGUAUUUUAAAGAUGAGUAACAGUGAUGAAGACCAAUGGAAUGAUGACCAUGACGAUGAAGAUACUGACGAUGAAGGCAGCACAUCGCAAACCCAACAAAAUAAUAAUAUGCUCUUAGCUACAGCGGCUACAGUUGCAGCGACAUAUGCAACAAAUUAUUUGAUAAAAGAACCAUGUAGGACAUCUUGUUUAACAGGAGGGAUGUGGAUGGUAGAAUUACAAGAAGGGAAUCGGACAAGAAUAUUUGAAAAUUUUCGAAUGGAAAGAGAGAAAUGUGCAAGAAAGAUUUCAACAUUCCGGCGAGACUAUUUCAAAAUAUUUCAAGAAGGUGUUAAAGGCUGUUACAAUGAUGUCCAUUGAUUGGGUAAGGCCUCAACCGACUAAUGGUGUGCAUCCAUAUAUCCGACGCAACCGCAAAUAUUAUCCUCAUUUCAAGGAUUGUAUUUGAGUAAUUGACGGAACACACAUCAAAGCAUAUAUAUCUCCAGAUAAGCAAGCUCGUCUAAUAGGUAGAAAGGGAUAUGCGACUCAAAACAUAAUGGCCGCAUGUGACUUUGAUAUGUGUUUCACAUUUUGCUUACCAUGAUGGGAAGGAAGUGCACACGAUACUCAGAUCUUCUUAGAUGCAAUUAGGAAUCUUAGUUUUAAUUUUCCAAAACCACAAGGAGGUAACUGUUUUAUAUUUGAUUGCUACAAUAGAUGCACCACACAUUAAUCUUCAUAUUUAUUUUUACAUUUAUAAUUUCUUACUUAAAUUUCAUUUUGGAAUUUUAAAAUAGAUGAGUUUUACUUGGUGGAUGCUGGUUAUCCAAACAUGAAAGGAUAUCUUGCACCUUACAAAGGAGAGAGUUACCAUCUAGCUCAAUUUGAACAUGGUCAACCCCCCCAAAAUGCACAAGAAAAAUUCAACCAAGCACAUUCAUCACUUAGAAGUGUAAUAUAAAGAACGUUCGGGGUUUGGAAAGCAAGAUGGCCGAUGAUAAAGGAUAUCCCACCAAACUACAAGUGGUCGACCCAAGUCAAACUUGUUUGUGCAACAAUGGCAAUUCAUAAUUUCAUCCGACGAAGUAAGCUCCGCGAUAUUGCAUUUGACUCUUAUGAUAGAUUCACGGAUUAUGUGCCUAAUGAAGAUGAAGGAUCUUCGUCUCAACAAGCACGCCAUGGAAAUGAUGUUGCAUGUGAUGACAACGAGAUAAAAGUGAGGAGACAUAAUAUUUGUAUGUCAAUUUGCAGACGAAAUUAGGAGCUCUAUAAAUAUCUAUGAAGUUUUAUUUUUC